GGGGACGUUACGGAUUCGACAGGGAUAGUUCGAGCUUAGGUUGCGAGUCGAGGGGAUCGGCCUCGUUAAAACGUCAAAGCCUAUAAUUGGCAAACAAAACAAUCUUUCUUUAGCUGCUUAAUUGCACUAAAGGUUCCUCCCUCCAUCGUCCAUGUGGUAGGGUAAGGGACUCAAACUAAGUGGACUACGCCGGAGUUCGCCGUCUGAGGACAAAGGAAGAGGACAACCAGACUA
rnacentral:tmRNA from 1 species